rnacentral:rRNA from 1 species
AUUGAACGCUGGCGGCAGGCCUAACACAUGCAAGUCGAGCGGAUGAAGGGAGCUUGCUCCUGGAUUCAGCGGCGGACGGGUGAGUAAUGCCUAGGAAUCUGCCUGGUAGUGGUUGAUAACGUCCGGAAACGGGCGCUAAUACCGCAUACGUCCUGAGGGAGAAGGUGGGGGAUCGUCGGACCUCACGCUAUCAGAGGAGUCUAGGUCGGAUUAGCUAGUUGGUGGGGUAAAGGCCUACCAAGGCGACGAUCCGUAACUGGUCGGAGAGGAUGAUCAGUCACACUGGAACUGAGACACGGUCAAGACUCCUACGGGAGGCAGCAGUGGGGAAUAUUGGACAAUGGGCGAAAGCCUGAUCCAGCCAUGCCGAGUGUGUGAAGAAGGUCUUCGGAUUGUAAAGACGUUUUAGUUGGGAGGAAGGGCAGUAAGUUAAUACCUUGCUGUUUUGACGUUACCAACAGAAUAAGCACCGGCUAACUUCGUG